CGCACGGGUGCGUAACGCGUAUGCAACCUACCUCAUACUGGAGGAUAGCCCCUGGAAACGGGGAUUAAUACUCCAUAGUAUCACAAUUUCGCAUGUUAUUGUGAUUAAAGUUUUUCGGUAUGAGAUGGGCAUGCGUCCCAUUAGCUUGUUGGUGAGGUAACGGCUCACCAAGGCAACGAUGGGUAGGGGGCCUGAGAGGGUGGUCCCCCACACUGGUACUGAGACACGGACCAGACUCCUACGGGAGGCAGCAGUGAGGAAUAUUGGUCAAUGGAGGAAACUCUGAACCAGCCAUGCCGCGUGAAGGAUGACGGCCCUAUGGGUUGUAAACUUCUUUUAUAGAGGAAGAAACUUGUCUACGUGUAGACAACUGACGGUACUCUGCGAAUAAGGAUCGGCUAACUCCGUGCCAGCAGCCGCGGUAAUACGGAGGAUCCAAGCGUUAUCCGGAUUCAUUGGGUUUAAAGGGUCCGUAGGCGGAUUUUUAAGUCAGUGGUGAAAGCCGACAGCUCAACUGUCGAACUGCCAUUGAUACUGGAAAUCUUGAGUACAAAUGAAGUAGGCGGAAUGAGUCAUGUAGCGGUGAAAUGCAUAGAUAUGACUCAGAACACCGAUUGCGAAGGCAGCUUACUAACAUGUAACUGACGCUGAGGGACGAAAGCGUGGGGAGCGAACAGGAUUAGAUACCCUGGUAGUCCACGCCGUAAACGAUCAUCACUCGCUGUUGGCGAUAUACUGUCAGCGGCCAAGCGAAAGUAUUAAGUGAUG
rnacentral:rRNA from 1 species